UACGGAGGGGGCUAGCGUUAUUCGGAAUUAUUGGGCGUAAAGGGCGCGUAGGCGGCCCGGUAAGUCAAAGGUGAAAUCCCUCGGCUCAACUGAGGAACUGCCUUUGAAACUGUCGGGCUUGAGGCCGGGAGGGGGUAGCGGAAUUCCCAGUGUAGCGGUGAAAUGCGUAGAUAUUGGGAGGAACACCGGUGGCGAAGGCGGCUACCUGGACCGGUUCUGACGCUGACUGCGCGAAAGCGGUGGG
rnacentral:rRNA from 1 species